AUCUUGCGUACGGAGGUGAGGUUUGUUACCGCGAUUCUGAGAGGUGGGCUUUUAGUCCCUCCAGACCUCGGCUUUAGUGCUGUCUCCGCUUUUCUUUCACCUUCACAGAGGUUCGUGUCUUCCUAAAAGAAGGUUUUAUUGGGAGGUAAAGGUCAAUGCGUAGGGGUAGAGUAAGAAUUCUGCUUGGUCAGAAUCGUGAUGGCAUUGUGUUCAGCACUGAUGACUAUUUUCACCAUCAAGAUGGGUACAGGUAUAAUGUUAAUCAACUUGGUGAUGCCCAUGACUGGAACCAGAACAGAGGAGGAAUAAACAUGGUGUGUCUCGAAAGAAGAUUGCUCAGAUGUUGGAUCGUUAUGAAUAUCAAAUGUCCAUUUCUAUUGUAAUGAAUUCAGUGGAACCAUCACACAAAAGCACACAAAGACCUCCUCCUCCACAGGGGAGACAGAGGUGGGGAGGCUCUCUUGGCUCACAUAAUCGUGUCUGUGUCACAAAUAAUCAUUAAAUUAGCUAUUUUCAGCUAACACAUUUGUUGUUGCACUUGAAAAAGAGUUAGUGAGCCUGUCUUGGAGUUUAAGUAGUUUCAAAUAAAAAAAGGCUACAGUGCCUCACAAAGGAUGUUCCCAGCAAGUUGUUUAAAUUCCCAGCAAGUUGUUAAAGUGUAAAUAAAAAUAUAUGAAAUUGUAUUUUAAAUGUUUUUAUAUUCUCUUGUUGUAAUACUCUUGGCUGUUAUGGAAGCACCUGAGUAAUAGAGUGGUGGGUAGGAGCUAGGAUGUUUUUCUACAAUCGAAUUUUAAACUAAUUUAUCUAUUUUAUAGA
rnacentral:lncRNA from 1 species